rnacentral:rRNA from 1 species
UACGUAGGGGGCAAGCGUUGUCCGGAAUCAUUGGGCGUAAAGCGCGUGUAGGCGGCUCGGUAAGUCUGCUCUGAAAGUCCAAGGCUCAACCUUGGGAUGCGGGUGGAUACUGCCGGGCUCGAGUCCGGAAGAGGCGAGUGGAAUUCCUGGUGUAGUGGUGAAAAUGCGUAGAGAUCGGGAGGAACACCUGUGGCGAAGGCGGCCCCCUGGGCCGGCCCCUGACACUGAGACGCGAAGGCGUGGGGAGCCGAACGGG